GUUAUUCCGACCAAAGGCUGUGUCCGGUUAGUGGCCCGCAUGAGUGCUGACCAGCGGGGUCGGUCGGUGGGAGCGCUUUCGCAGAAAGGUCACUGGCCGGGUUCUUGGAUUAGGGUUUUCCGGGCAGGAAUCGCAUCAUCGCAUCCAAGCUUCGCUAGGAAAAAAAAGAGGAAUCCAUGGAGGCCGAUUCUUGGAGCCGCUUCUCGCUCGCCGCCUCGAAGCGCCGCCAGUCCGCUCACCAAUCGCGAUACGAUCUGUACCUUGGGUUCGAGGAGAUUGAUGGCGGUGAGGACGACUCCCGCGCGGAGUUUGCCUGCCCGUUUUGCUCCGAGGAUUUCGAUAUCGUCGGGCUUUGCUGCCACAUCGAUGAUGAGCACCCCGUGGAGGCUAAGAAUGGGGUAUUACUUCUUAUCCAAUCUUUCGUUUUAGUUUUUCAAUGUUCUGGAAUUAUCCGAUCUUGAAAUGGAUGAGCUUUAUGUUUUUUUCUCUAUAAUUGUUGAAUAAAAAUACAUUUUUUGGGAUGGCGAUGGUUAUUUUUGUUGGGAUUUUUUAGGUUUGUAAGUCUUUCUAUUUUCUAAUGGUAGAUAUAGUCUAUGCGUUUUCUAACUUUUUAGGUGUUUUCUUCACUUUCUGUUUAGCUAAGUUUAUUAGCUUGGGGGAAUGCAGGAUUUUUAUAGCUUUAUCGGCUGCUGAUAUUA